AGUCGAGAAUCUUCCGCAAUGCGCGAAAGCGUGACGGAGCAAUACCGAGUGUGUGAUGAAGGUCUUCGGAUUGUAAAGCACUGUCAACAGGGACGAAUAUUGACGGUACCUGUAGAGGAAGCACCGGCUAAUUACGUGCCAGCAGCCGCGGUAAUACGUAAGGUGCAAGCGUUAUCCGGAUUCAUUGGGCGUAAAGGGUCCGCAGGGGGUUUAUCAAGUCUGAUGUGAAAUCCAACGGCUCAACCGUUGAACUGCAUUGGAAACUAUUAAACUAGAGUACUAUAGAGGUAAGCGGAAUUCCUGGUGUAGCGGUGGAAUGCGUAGAUAUCAGGAGGAACACCAAUAGCGAAGGCAGCUUACUGGGUAGUUACUGACCCUCAGGGACGAAAGCGUGGGUAGCGAA
rnacentral:rRNA from 1 species